AAGCGCUGGCAACCAGACUUGCGCGUCGGGGUUCCCCCUUGCUUCUGCUUGGGUUACUCCCCGGCGUUCAGGCCAACAUCGGUUUCGGGGGUUGGUUAAAGGCCCUGGGAAUGUACCUACCCUCCGGGGUAGACUUAUAG
rnacentral:rRNA from 1 species